AAAGAUGAAGAAGCAAAGUCAGACGAACCAACCCAAGGCUUCAAACAGCUUCUCUUCCAUAACCAUGGAUUCACUGAAUUCUCUCUCUAUAUCUCUCACCCUCUUACUCUGUGUCUCUGUUUCUCUCCCUUUACUCUGUUUCCUUUGGUAACCUUUAUGUCUCCUUCUAUUCAUUCUUGGCAAAAAUACACAUUACUAAAAAAAAUUAAUUAAAAAAAAGGGCAAAAUGACAGAAAUGAUAACUUUAAAGGGCGCCUUAUCUGUAGUUCAAAUCAACUCUGGCUUAAAU
rnacentral:misc_RNA from 1 species